GCGGAUAUGACGAAAUUGGUAGACGUAUUAGAUUUAGAUUCUAAUGAUUAAAUCGUGAGAGUUCAAAUCUCUCUAUCCGUA
rnacentral:tRNA from 1 species